rnacentral:piRNA from 1 species
GCCGAGUGGUUAAGGCGUUGGACUCG